AUAAUGUGGAAAACAAAUACCUAACACUCUAAUCAAUACUCUAUAAUGAGCAGCAGGAAGCUGCAGUGAAAGAGGGAAUGCCCAGAGUGAUUAGGUUCUAGCAGAAAAUCCUGGGAGUUAGAACAUCAGACUGUAGUCAGGCAGGUCCCAAGUGGCCUGUCAAAGCAGAAAAAGUGCCAGGCAGGAAGGCCUGAGAGAAGGAAGAGAAACUUUGAUUUGUAUGGGCUUUUGGAUGGAAAGAGAAGAAACUGCAUGUGGUGUGACCUUAGGCAGGGGAGACGUGGGAGAUAGCUAGCUUCGUUACAAUAGGGAGUAUUAUUAGCUCAAUUUUACAGAUGGGGAAACCAAAGCACAGAGAGAUUAAGUUCAUAACUUGCCAGCAAAAUGUGGAUGCUUCUGUCCUAGAUUGUUCUUCAAUGUGCAAGCUACUUGGAGCCCCUAUGUUGCUGCCCCCACCCCCAUUCUAAGGAAGUGGAAGAAGGCCAGAGCCCUCCGAAUGUCCAGAGUAUGCAGGCUGGCAUCCUUCUGUGAAGCGUGCAGUUUUGGGGAAAAGAUUCUCCGAGGAGAGGAACUCGCUCCAUCUGCAACUGAGGAUAGCAAUGAAGGAACUGGAGGGAGCCAGACUGCGCACGUGAAGAGAAAGGCGUGAAUGGCACAAGGCA